rnacentral:rRNA from 1 species
AUCCUAAUAACUUAGC